UGGAAACGGUGUCUAAUACUGGAUACGACCAACCCUUGCAUGGGGUGUUGGUGGAAAGAUUUAUCGGUGAUGGAUGGACUCGCGGCCUAUCAGCUUGUUGGCGGGGUAAUGGCCCACCAAGGCGACGACGGGUAGCCGGCCUGAGAGGGUGACCGGCCACACUGGGACUGAGACACGGCCCAGACUCCUACGGGAGGCAGCAGUGGGGAAUAUUGCACAAUGGGCGAAAGCCUGAUGCAGCGACGCCGCGUGAGGGAUGACGGCCUUCGGGUUGUAAACCUCUUUCAGCAGGGAAGAAGCGAAAGUGACGGUACCUGCAGAAGAAGCACCGGCUAACUACGUGCCAGCAGCCGCGGUAAUACGUAGGGUGCGAGCGUUGUCCGGAAUUAUUGGGCGUAAAGAGCUUGUAGGCGGUUUGUCGCGUCUGCUGUGAAAUUCCAGGGCUUAACCCUGGACGUGCAGUGGGUACGGGCAGACUAGAGUGUGGUAGGGGAGACUGGAAUUCCUGGUGUAGCGGUGGAAUGCGCAGAUAUCAGGAGGAACACCGAUGGCGAAGGCAGGUCUCUGGGCCAUUACUGACGCUGAGAAGCGAAAGCAUGGGGAGCGAACAGGAUUAGAUACCCUGGUAGUCCAUGCCGUAAACGUUGGGCGCUAGGCGUGGGCCUCAUUCCACGAGGUCCGUGUCGAAGCUAACGCAUUAAGCGCCCCGCCUGGGGAGUACGGCCGCAAGGCUAAAACUCAAAGGAAUUGACGGGGGCCCGCACAAGCGGCGGAGCAUGCUGAUUAAUUCGAUGCAACGCGAAGAACCUUACCAAGGCUUGACAUGCACCGGACAGCCCCAGAGAUGGGGUCUUCUUCGGACUGGUGCACAGGUGGUGCAUGGUUGUCGUCAGCUCGUGUCGUGAGAUGUUGGGUUAAGUCCCGCAACGAGCGCAACCCUCGUUCUAUGUUGCCAGCACGUAAUGGUGGGGACUCAUAGGAGACUGCCGGGGUCAACUCGGAGGAAGGUGGGGACGACGUCAAAUCAUCAUGCCCCUUAUGUCUUGGGCUUCAAGCAUGCUACAAUGGCCGGUACAGAGGGCUGCGAUACCGCGAGGUGGAGCGAAUCCCAAAAAACCGGUCUCAGUUCGGAUUGGGGUCUGCAACUCGACCCCAUGAAGUCGGAGUCGCUAGUAAUCGCAGAUCAGCAA
rnacentral:rRNA from 2 species